CGCUGGCGGCACGCCUAACACAUGCAAGUCGAACGAAGUAGCAAUACUUAGUGGCAGACGGGUGAGUAACAUGUAGGUAUCUGCCCUAUGGCCUGGAAUAACACGAGGAAACUUGUGCUAAUACCGGAUAAGUCUUUACAGAGAAAGCUUUAUGCACCAUUGGAUGAGCCUGCACUUGAUUAGUUUGUUGGUGGGGUAAUGGCCUACCAAGACUGUGAUCAAUAGCUGAUUUGAGAGGAUGAUCAGCCACAUUGGGACUGAGACACGGCCCAAACUCCUACGGGAGGCAGCAGUGGGGAAUCUUGCACAAUGGAGGAAACUCUGAUGCAGCGAUGCCGCGUGAGUGAAGAAGGCCCUUGGGUUGUAAAGCUCUUUCGUCGGGGAAGAAAAUGACUGUACCCGAAUAAGAAGGUCCGGCUAACUUCGUGCCAGCAGCCGCGGUAAUACGAAGGGACCUAGCGUAGUUCGGAAUUACUGGGCUUAAAGAGUUCGUAGGUUGUUGAAAAAGUUGGUGGUGAAAUCCCAGAGCUUAACUCUGGAACUGCCAUCAAAACUUUUCAGCUAGAGUAUGAUAGAGGAAAGCAGAAUUUCUAGUGUAGAGGUGAAAUUCGUAGAUAUUAGAAAGAAUACCAAUUGCGAAGGCAGCUUUCUGGAUCAUUACUGACACUGAGGAACGAAAGCAUGGGUAGCGAAGAGGAUUAGAUACCCUCGUAGUCCAUGCCGUAAACGAUGUGUGUUAGACGUUGGAAAUUUAUUUUCAGUGUCGCAGUGAAAGCGAUAAACACACCGCCUGGGGAGUACGACCGC
rnacentral:rRNA from 1 species